rnacentral:tRNA from 1 species
UGUAAUCGGGUGUAUAUAAGUAGCAUAUUAUGUUUUGGUCAUAGGGGAAAUUAGAAGUUGAUUACAA